UACAGAGGGAGCGAGCGUUGUUCGGAAUUACUGGGCGUAAAGGGUGCGCAGGCGGUUUUGUAAGCCAGAUGUGAAAUCCCCGGGCUUAACCUGGGAAUGGCAUUUGGGACUGCAAGGCUAGAGUGUGGCAGAGGAGACUGGAAUUCCUGGUGUAGCAGUGAAAUGCGUAGAUAUCAGGAGGAAUACCGAUGGCGAAGGCAGGUCUCUGGGCUGACACUGACGCUCAUGCACGAAAGCGUGGGGAGCAAACAGG
rnacentral:rRNA from 1 species